AUUGAACGCUGGCGGCAUGCCUUACACAUGCAAGUCGAACGGCGGCACGGGGGCAACCCUGAUGGCGAUUGGCGAACGGGUGAGUAAUGCAUCGGAACGUGCCCAGUAGUGGGGGAUAACCCGGCGAAAGCCGGGCUAAUACCGCAUACGACCUACGGGUGAAAGCGGGGGACCGUAAGGCCUCGCGCUAUUGGAGCGGCCGAUGUCUGCUUAGCUAGUUGGCGGGGUAAAGGCCCACCAAGGCGACGAUCAGUAGCUGGUCUGAGAGGACGACCAGCCACACUGGGACUGAGACACGGCCCAGACUCCUACGGGAGGCAGCAGUGGGGAAUUUUGGACAAUGGGCGCAAGCCUGAUCCAGCCAUGCCGCGUGCGGGAAGAAGGCCUUCGGGUUGUAAACCGCUUUUGGCAGGAACGAAACGGCGCAAGCUAAUACCUUGCGCUAAUGACGGUACCUGCAGAAUAAGCACCGGCUAACUACGUGCCAGCAGCCGCCGUAAUAC
rnacentral:rRNA from 1 species